rnacentral:lncRNA from 1 species
GCAGAAAUUUCAAAGACAAGCAGAAAACAAAAUUGCUAAAUGACUGAUACUCAUCUUCUUUACUCCUGAUGGGCUAUAAUCUAGUUAUGGAGUCUGUGUUUUUCCAGAUAUCUGAACCAUUUGGAAUGUAUUUACAUACUGUGAUGGUCAUUAACAUAGUCAUCACCUUUUGCUCCAGGAACUGAGUUCAUCCCUUUAACUAGUUCACAAAGGGUGUGGGGCUCUAGUGAUCCUAUGGAGGACUCUUCUCUUUUUCCACAGAAAUAGUUAAGUGUUGCCGAUUUUUUUUCACAAUCUACAAAAAGAAGGGCAUUGUUAAUUGAGUACUAGAAUAUGAGAGAGAGAGAGAGAGAGAGAGAGAGAGAGAGAUUGAGAUUGACUAUAAAGCUGUGGUCUUUUGUGUCUCUCUUGAUGUUAUUUUGUUACCUUUGUUAUAGUCUAUUCAUCCAAAAACAAAAACAAAAAAACAAAAAAAACAAGAACAAAACCAAAACAAACCAGAACAAAAUAAGCCAGAUUUGGAGAUUUUUUUUUUUUCCCUAGUGGCUCAGGUAGUUAAGAUUUUACUUUUUAAACUAAGGACUAGGUUUCACAUUCAUUCAUAAUGAUAUUUUAACAUAAUUAGUUGCAUCAAAGCAAUUAGGCUUUAUUUUACUAGGCAAACAAAUGAGUUUCCACAAGAAAGGCAAUCAAGUUUGAUCUUUUUAACCCUAAGUCUUAUAUUUUGGAACAUUAAGCAUUUACAUUCCUUUCAGUUCAAUUAAGAUUCUUAUUCUCUCCCUUUUUAUUUACCCAGUGCUACCCAGUGCUGGAUGCUUUAACAGUGAACUUAAUCUCUAGUCUCCUCCCCUCCUCUGUUCAUGAUUGAUACCUAAUGUGUACUGUCUGUUGUCUUUUGACAUUUUUUUUUUACCUGGUUCCAUUUCUAUUUUUGAAUAGAAAGAAUCUUAAAACUGUAAUAUGGGCUUGGUUUUAGAUCACCAUGUUUCCUGACACACAUGUUCGUUCUCUCUCUCUCUCUCUCUCUCUCUUUCUCUCUCUCUCUCUCUCUCUCACACACACACACACACACACACACACACACACCUCUUUCCAAGCAGACUAUUUUUUCCUUUUCCUUGGUGACAGGAUCUCACUGUACAGUCCAAAUUGACUUUAGCUCAUGAUCCUCUCUGUUCCAUCUCCUGAGUGUGCUGGGAUUAGAGGUGAUGGGUCACCAAGUUCAGCUCCAGAGACUAUUUCAUUUUCUGUGAGAAGAAAAAGCAAUUUCUGCAGAAGUUCACUCUAAGCCAACUAACUUUGCACUUUGAAAUUAUUUUAAUCCAGUAUGCCUCAACCUUGCUAAUGCUGCUCUACCCCUUUAAUACAAUUUCUCAUAUUAUGGUGACCCCCCAAGCAUAAUUUUCAUUGCUACUUAAUAACUGUAAUUUCACUAUUGUUAUAAAUCAUGAUGUAAUAAAUAUCUGAUAUUCAGGAUAUUUGAUAUGUGACCCCGUGAAAGGGUCUCACAAUCCCCAAAGGGGUCAUGACCCACAGGUUGAGAACCACUGUUUUAAUCUGUUUGUUUCAGAUUCAGGUUAUUUUGCAUACUCUACAUCAUAAAUAUGGGCCAUUUUCCACUAUUAGUCAUAGUUGCUCUAAGUUGUUACUUUUAAGCUUUGAAACUUAUAUUAUUUUUUUAAGCAGGAAAACCCUUUUGUAUUUAUGACUUUUAAGAGGCAAGAUUUAUGUUUUUGGAGCCUGCCUUGGUUUAAAUUUGGUGUAACUUGUCAGUGAUGUCAAAGAUACUAUGUCUCUGUAGAAUGAGAUGAGAGCAUCUUGCAUUCUAUUUGUAAGUAAUUGGAAGCCAGUGCAGGGAACUGGAGUAAUUAAGAAUAGCCUUGCAAGAAACUUGAUUUUGUUUUCAAAUUAAUUUUUCCACUUUUCUUGACUGAAGAAUAUAAUAACAUAUAAUAAUUAUAUUGAGGUUUUAGAGAAGGUUCCUAAUUUGUCUGAAAAGUCCUCUAGCACAAACUUGAAAGGGAUGUUUUGAGAAGUCAGUGGGACAGUAGAUGUGACUUCUGAUUGUACAUCUGGAGUUUACACCUACCAAAGCCACAAACCUAGUACAGGUCCUAGUCCUGCACACAGAAAUAGAGAGCACUGUAGGCACUAAACCCGUGGAUACCAAGUUCUGUCCUCAUUUGGAAGAAGAGGCUGGCUCAUUUAGAGGAAGAAGAGUGGCCAGCGAUCUUUGGAUCUCCCCUGAGGUUGUCACUUUCCGUUUCCCUUUAUUUGAAUAGAUGCACUCUAAGCUGGUCUAUUUGAUUUGUGCGCCAGUUUUUUAAAAUACUUUGUUCCAACAAGAGAGGCAUUCACCUCUGGAGGCCGCCUUACCCUUUAACUUGAGCCCGGAGUUGUAGUCACCGUCCAAGUAUGCUCCCUGCACCUGACAUUCCUUCCCACUGGAGCCUUUCGGUGAAUAAGAGGAAAGGCUCGGCCAAUUAUACUAGACAAAGCCGCACAGCUGCGAGUCAGCUGGGAGGAGUUUCCGUUUGGAGCUGGAGCUGGUGGCGGCUGGCGCUCCCACCUCCUUUUUCCCCCUCGCCACCAUCCCCUUCUAUUCUCAGGGAUUACCUGGGUGGAGGCCGGGCUCUGACUCUCGAACCGGGCAGCAGAUGCUGCCAUACCGGCAGGUGCCACCCACCUCUAGCCUCCGCCUCAAGAGCAAAGACCGGAGGCUCAGGUGGUACCCGGCACCCUGCCUGAAGGUUGGCGGGAGGGGAAGGGGUGGUCCUUACGGCUGGACCCUCCAGCUGACACAGGAAGUGCGGGGAGAGCCUGGCACUGGGCUGGGAUCCGCCCCGCCUGCCGCUCCUAGGCUGUGCUGUCUCCGCAGAACAAUGAAGUGCUUCCAAGUUUGCUGAGACUCCUGGGGAAUGCAUCGAACUCUGUCAGCCUUCAAAUGUGCCGCCAGUGACUUCCCCCAAGAAGCUGUGUUUUAAUAAAAGAAGAAAAAGACACCCUUUCUGGGUAGAUCGCUUUGUUAGGAGAUCCUCACGACCAUGGUCCAGCGCUUUAGCCUCAGGCGGCAGCUCUCCAAGGUGGGUCAGUUUUCUGGUGUGUCUUACUGGGAACUCUGGCUUCUGCAGGGUUUCCUUUUUUGAUGGGACUUUUAUGUCAAGCCUGCCUUUCUCUGGUGCUAAGGAAGGUCUGGGGAGGAAGCUCUGCCUUUUGUUCUUUGAUCUGAUGGACACAAAGCUGAAGGUUGCCUGCACUGCCAGCCCCAGGCUGUAUGCCCCUAAAACUGUAGCUGUCAUCUUCAAAUCUGGACCAACUUGUCAUAUUUACCCCUGACAGUUUCAGAAGAAUGUGGGUAGGUAGUAAUUGUAGGUCAGAUGUAUAUAUUUAAUUAGCAAAAUAAUAGCUUGUAAAUCAACAGAAGAAAGCCUGCCUGCUCUGUGGAAUCAGGACUUUCAUACAAAUUUCACUAAACUC